ensembl:lncRNA
CAUGAUUUAGGAACCAAAACAAAAAUAAUGUGGGUACCCAUACCUCAGCAAUUGUUGCUUAAAAACUUUUGAGAAUGUUGCUUCACCCUCACCUUGCCUUAAAAGAUCUUUUUGCGCCGAUGUUAUUAUUUUACUUAUUGUUUUUAACGUUGUAGUUUUAACUGGGGUUAUUAGUUGGUUUCUCCUCAGCUUUUGGAUGUGUGGGGGUGUCCAGUCCUCUAUGCAAAGUCCUAUGGAAGUUCCAAGGAGUGGCAACGUCUGUGGCAUGAAUCAUUCAACUCUAAGCCCUGGAAAGCUCAGCUCAAUGUCCAACAUGUCCAGGCCAUUGGGUACAGUUUCACCACUGGAUGGGAGCAUUGAUUAUUUAGCCUUUACUUUGAAGUGGCCUUACUCUGACAGUGGAAAAUGGCAUUCCCUCUUGGCUCUUGUUACAAAUUUCUUGGGGGACUGAACCUGCCCUAUCACUGCACAACACACUCAAGAAACAUUGGCUAAUGUUUUGUCCCUAGAGAACAUCUUUCUGGUGGAUGCCCUGAAUGACCAGCAUACAAAGUGGUUCCUGUUGUUUAGGAUGGAAGCACUUGGUUGCUCCUCAGGUCUUAUGGGACAUGCUGGGAAUUGCAACUGUGUUCCAACAGAUGCACAGAAGGGAAACUUUACAAAUUAGCCCAGCUCCAGGACACCUUCCCCAACCCCUACAGCUCCAGGAUGCCUUCACAAAUCUUUGAGGUGAGAUCAAAGACAUAGCAAGGCCAAAGUCCAAUUGUAUGUCCUUCAUCAAAAGGAUGUCCACCUGGGAGCAUAUAUCUCCUGGUGUGAUCCUAACCCCAGGGAAUCUGUUCAGUUCAAAUAUUCUCUUCCUCCCCAAGGCAUGUACACAAUGCUUACACUCAGUAAAGAUAUUCUUUAACACCUUUUCCAAAGAGCUAUUUCCUGCUCUCACCUUGAUGCUUGUUGAAUAGAAAGAUGCCAGACAAUAAAGUAAAUUAAGGGCUGUCUCUGUGCUCAGUUUAAUUAUAAAAG